ensembl:misc_RNA Y_RNA Y RNA
GGCUGGUCCGAUGGCAGUGGGUUAUCAGAACUUAUUAACAUUAGUGUCACUAAAGUUGGUAUACUACCCCCCCCACCGCUAAAUUUGACUGACUUAAA